GACGAACGCUGGCGGCGUGCUUAACACAUGCAAGUCGAACGGAAAGGCCCUGCUUUUGUGGGGUGCUCGAGUGGCGAACGGGUGAGUAACACGUGAGUAACCUGCCCUUGACUUUGGGAUAACUUCAGGAAACUGGGGCUAAUACCGGAUAGGAGCUCCUGCUGCAUGGUGGGGGUUGGAAAGUUUCGGCGGUUGGGGAUGGACUCGCGGCUUAUCAGCUUGUUGGUGGGGUAGUGGCUUACCAAGGCUUUGACGGGUAGCCGGCCUGAGAGGGUGACCGGCAAAAUGGGGACUGAGAUACGGCCCAGACUCCAAGGGGGGGCAGAAGGGGGGAAUAUUGCACAAUGGGCGGAAGCCUGAUGCAGCAACGCCGCGUGCGGGAUGACGGCCUUCGGGUUGUAAACCGCUUUCGCCUGUGACGAAGCGUGAGUGACGGUAAUGGGUAAAGAAGCACCGGCUAACUACGUG
rnacentral:rRNA from 1 species